AUGGCGCUGAGAGCGCUGCGCCUCUCCGUCGUCGUCGUCGCGGUCGUCGCCCUCUCCGCGCUCCCGCGGCGGGCGGACGCCGCCCCGGGCAUCCGGCCAGGGCACAAGGAGGCGGACGUGAUCGUCGCGCUGCCGGGGCAGCCUCCGGCCGUGCAGCUGCGGCAGUACUCCGGCUACAUCAACGUCAACCGGGCCGCGGGGAAGUCGCUCUUCUACUACUUCGUGGAGGCGCCCAUCGACCCCGCUCACAAGCCGCUCGUCCUCUGGCUCAAUGGAGGGCCCGGCUGCUCUUCCUUCGGGAUUGGAGCGUUCCAGGAGGUUGGCCCCUUCCGUGUCGACACGGAAGGCAGGACGCUCUGCCCGAACCCCUUCUCCUGGACCGCCGCGGCGAACCUGUUGUUCCUGGAGAGCCCCGUGGGCGUGGGCUUCUCCUACGCCGUGAACGAGGAGGUGUACAAGACCAUGGGGGACAACAUGACCGCCAUCGACUCGCACAUCUUCCUGCUCAGGUGGUUCGACCGCUUCCCCGAGUACAAGGGCCGCGAGUUCUUCAUCGUCGGCGAGAGCUACGCCGGCCACUACAUCCCCGAGCUGGCCAUCACCAUCGAUGUCCAGAACAAGAACCCCAAGCUCACCCCCAUCAACCUCAAAGGAAUCUCCAUCGGGAACGGCAUACUGGAGUUCGCGGAGGAGCAGGCGGAGCUGUACGAGUACCUGUGGCACCGCGCCUUCAUAUCGGACGCGGCGCACGACACCAUCGCCAAGCACUGCAAGGGCCCCGACGACCUCUCCACCGUCUGCCAGGCGGCGAGGGACACCGCCUACGGCAACACCGGCGACAUUAGCGCCUUCAAUGUCUACGCGCCCACUUGCCACGACAAAAAAGUCAGGCCAACAGACUCCAAGUGCAUGGACAUUGCUGGUCCGUGCCUCGCACACUUUGUGGAGGCGUACUUGAACCAGCACCAGGUGCAAACGGCGAUCCACGCCAACACGGCGCUCAAGUAUCCGUGGGUGGGAUGCAGAACCCGGACGUACAACCUGAAACGCUUCGGGGACUCGCCGACGUCGAUGCUGCCACACCUCAAGGCCCUGGUCACCACCGGCAUCCGCAUCUGGCUAUUCAGCGGCGACUUCGACGCGAUGGUCCCGGUGACGGCGACGAAGCGGUCGGUGGAGAAGCUGCAGCUGGGCGUGGAGAAGGACUGGCGGGCGUGGUCGCCGGGGCCGGGCAAGGACGUGGCCGGGUACGUGAUCGCGUACAAGGGGCUGGUGCUGGCCACGGUGCGCGGCGCCGGCCACAUGGUCACCGUCGACCAGCCGGAGCGGGGGUUCGCGCUCCUCACGUCCUUCCUCCGAGGCGAGCCGCUGCCGUCCGCGGCGCCGCAGACCGACUGA
rnacentral:rRNA from 1 species